rnacentral:rRNA from 1 species
ACUCCUACGGGAGGCAGCAGUAGGGAAUCUUCCACAAUGGACGAAAGUCUGAUGGAGCAACGCCGCGUGAGUGAAGAAGGGUUUCGGCUCGUAAAACUCUGUUGUUAAAGAAGAACAUAUCUGAGAGUAACUGUUCAGGUAUUGACGGUAUUUAACCAGAAAGCCACGGCUAACUACGUGCCAGCAGCCGCGGUAAUACGUAGGUGGCAAGCGUUGUCCGGAUUUAUUGGGCGUAAAGCGAGCGCAGGCGGUUUUUAAGUCUGAUGUGAAAGCCUUCGGCUCAACCGAAGAAGUGCAUCGGAAACUGGGAAACUUGAGUGCAGAAGAGGACAGUGGAACUCCAUGUGUAGCGGUGAAAUGCGUAGAUAUAUGGAAGAACACCAGUGGCGAAGGCGGCUGUCUGGUCUGUAACUGACGCUGAGGCUCGAAAGUAUGGGUAGCAAACAGGAUUAGAUACCCUGGUAGGAAAGCC